rnacentral:rRNA from 1 species
GACGAACGCUGGCGGCGUGCUUAACACAUGCAAGCCGAACGGUGAUCUUGAGAGCUUGCUCUUGGGUGAUCAGUGGCGAACGGGUGAGUAACACGUGAGCAACCUGCCCCAGACUCUGGAAUAACCCCGGGAAACCGGAGCUAAUACCGGAUACGACACUGGCCCGCAUGGGUAUGGUGUGGAAAGUUUUUCGGUCUGGGAUGGGCUCGCGGCCUAUCAGCUUGUUGGUGAGAUAGUGGCUCACCAAGGCGACGACGGGUAGCCGGCCUGAGAGGGCGACCGGCCACACUGGGACUGAGACACGGCCCAGACUCCUACGGGAGGCAGCAGUGGGGAAUAUUGCACAAUGGGCGCAAGCCUGAUGCAGCGACGCCGCGUGAGGGAUGACGGCCUUCGGGUUGUAAACCUCUUUCAGCAGGGAAGAAGCGCAAGUGACGGUACCUGCAGAAGAAGCACCGGCUAACUACGUGCCAGCAGCCGCGGUAAUACGUAGGGUGCGAGCGUUGUCCGGAAUUAUUGGGCGUAAAGAGCUUGUAGGCGGUUUGUCGCGUCUGCUGUGAAAAUCCGGGGCUCAACCCCGGACUUGCAGUGGGUACGGGCAGGCUAGAGUGUGGUAGGGGAGACUGGGAUUCCUGGUGUAGCGGUGAAAUGCGCAGAUAUCAGGAGGAACACCGAUGGCGAAGGCAGGUCUCUGGGCCACUACUGACGCUGAGAAGCGAAAGCAUGGGGAGCGAACAGGAUUAGAUACCCUGGUAGUCCAUGCCGUAAACGUUGGGAACUAGGUGUGGGUCUCAUUCCACGAGAUCCGUGCCGCAGCUAACGCAUUAAGUUCCCCGCCUGGGGAGUACGGCCGCAAGGCUA